UCCCACGGGAGGCAGCAGUCGAGAAUCAUUCACAAUGGGGGAAACCCUGAUGGUGCGACGCCGCGUGGGGGAAUGAAGGUCUUCGGAUUGUAAACCCCUGUCAUGUGGGAGCAAAUUAAAAAGAUAGUACCACAAGAGGAAGAGACGGCUAACUCUGUGCCAGCAGCCGCGGUAAUACAGAGGACUCAAGCGGUGUUCGGAAUCACUGGGCGUAAAGCGUGCGUAGGCUGUUUCGUAAGUGGUGUGUGACAGGCGCGGGCUCAACCCGCGGAAGGCACAUGAUACAGCG
rnacentral:rRNA from 1 species